rnacentral:rRNA from 1 species
AUUGAACGCUGGCGGCAUGCCUUACACAUGCAAGUCGAACGGUAACAGGUCUUCGGACGCUGACGAGUGGCGAACGGGUGAGUAAUGCAUCGGAACGAGCCCAGUCGUGGGGGAUAACUGCUCGAAAGAGCAGCUAAUACCGCAUACGACCUGAGGGUGAAAGCGGGGGACCGUAAGGCCUCGCGCGAUUGGAGUGGCCGAUGUCAGAUUAGCUAGUUGGUGGGGUAAAGGCCUACCAAGGCAACGAUCUGUAGUUGGUCUGAGAGGACGACCAGCCACACUGGGACUGAGACACGGCCCAGACUCCUACGGGAGGCAGCAGUGGGGAAUUUUGGACAAUGGGCGCAAGCCUGAUCCAGCCAUGCCGCGUGCGGGAAGAAGGCCUUCGGGUUGUAAACCGCUUUUGUCAGGGAAGAAAUCUUCUGGGUUAAUACCUCGGGAGGAUGACGGUACCUGAAGAAUAAGCACCGGCUAACUACGUGCCAGCAGCCGCCGUAACAC